rnacentral:misc_RNA from 1 species
CUCUUGGCAAUAAAGCGCCCUUAUUUUUAAUGGUGCUUUAAGGAAAAGAGCUCUAAAAAGCUUUUGUGUUAAGAGUAUGCCGGGGAAGGUUUUCCGGUUUAUCCCGGAGGGCUUGUAGCUCAGUUGGUUAGAGCGCGCGCUUGAUAAGCGUGAGGUCGGAGGUUCAAGUCCUCCCAGGCCCACCAAUCACUCUAUCAAUUUAAUGAAGCGCUAGCGAGCUUGCUUAUAGGAUGCUUUCCUAUCAAAUCUGCAAACUGCUAAAAUAAAGUCUACAAACCGAUAAAGCCUAUAAAUUUGUAAGAAGCUUACAUAUUUUGUUUGGUAAUGCCUUAAACGCAUUUAAAAACACCGAUCAUUUGUCAUAGGACUUCAAAGUGAUGUCAUCACUUGAAUUUUAAGAGUGAACUUAAAUUUUAAGGGUGAAAUUGUCAUUUAAAAUGAAGUUUUAUUGAUGAUGAAGUUCUAUUGAUUAAGUUGGUAGAUAAGAUUAAGUCCGUAGAUAAAAUAUGGUUUGUUUAUCAGGGUGUUUGAAAAGGACAUUUAUCAUUUGCGAAGGGCAUUUGUAAAAGGGAAGAGCUUUACUGUU